rnacentral:rRNA from 1 species
CCUACGGGAGGCAGCAGUGGGGGAUAUUGCACAAUGGCGGGAACCCUGAUGCAGCGACGCCGCGUGGGUGAAGAAGCGCCUCGGCGCGUAAAGCCCUGUCAGCAGGGAAGAAAAUGACGGUACCUGAAGAAGAAGCCCCGGCUAACUACGUGCCAGCAGCCGCGGUAAUACGUAGGGGGCAAGCGUUAUCCGGAUUUACUGGGUGGAAAGGGGGCGCAGGCGGCGAUGCAAGCCAGGUGUGAAAGCCCGGGGCCCAACCCCGGGACUGCUCUUGGAACUGCGUGGCUGGAGUGCAGGAGGGGCGGGCGGAAUUCCUGGUGUAGCGGUGAAAUGCGUAGAUAUCAGGAGGAACACCGGUGGCGAAGGCGGCCUGCUGGACUGCAACUGACGUUGAGGCCCGAAAGCGUGGGGAGCAAACAGGAUUAGAUACCCCAGUAGUC